rnacentral:rRNA from 1 species
GGGUUGUGAGGUUAAGCGACUAAGCGUACACGGUGGAUGCCCUGGCAGUCAGAGGCGAUGAAGGACGUGCUAAUCUGCGAUAAGCGUCGGUAAGGUGAUAUGAACCGUUAUAACCGGCGAUUUCCGAAUGGGGAAACCCAGUGUGAUUCGUCACACUAUCAUUAACUGAAUCCAUAGGUUAAUGAGGCGAACCGGGGGAACUGAAACAUCUAAGUACCCCGAGGAAAAGAAAUCAACCGAGAUUCCCCCAGUAGCGGCGAGCGAACGGGGAGGAGCCCAGAGCCUGAAUCAGUGUGUGUGUUAGUGGAAGCGUCUGGAAAGGCGCGCGAUACAGGGUGACAGCCCCGUACACAAAAAUGCACAUGCUGUGAGCUCGAUGAGUAGGGCGGGACACGUGGUAUCCUGUCUGAAUAUGGGGGGACCAUCCUCCAAGGCUAAAUACUCCUGACUGACCGAUAGUGAACCAGUACCGUGAGGGAAAGGCGAAAAGAACCCCGGCGAGGGGAGUGAAAAAGAACCUGAAACCGUGUACGUACAAGCAGUGGGAGCACAGAGCAAUCUGUGUGACUGCGUACCUUUUGUAUAAUGGGUCAGCGACUUAUAUUCUGUAGCAAGGUUAACCGAAUAGGGGAGCCGAAGGGAAACCGAGUCUUAACUGGGCGUUAAGUUGCAGGGUAUAGACCCGAAACCCGGUGAUCUAGCCAUGGGCAGGUUGAAGGUUGGGUAACACUAACUGGAGGACCGAACCGACUAAUGUUGAAAAAUUAGCGGAUGACUUGUGGCUGGGGGUGAAAGGCCAAUCAAACCGGGAGAUAGCUGGUUCUCCCCGAAAGCUAUUUAGGUAGCGCCUCGUGAAUUCAUCUCCGGGGGUAGAGCACUGUUUCGGCAAGGGGGUCAUCCCGACUUACCAACCCGAUGCAAACUGCGAAUACCGGAGAAUGUUAUCACGGGAGACACACGGCGGGUGCUAACGUCCGUCGUGAAGAGGGAAACAACCCAGACCGCCAGCUAAGGUCCCAAAGUCAUGGUUAAGUGGGAAACGAUGUGGGAAGGCCCAGACAGCCAGGAUGUUGGCUUAGAAGCAGCCAUCAUUUAAAGAAAGCGUAAUAGCUCACUGGUCGAGUCGGCCUGCGCGGAAGAUGUAACGGGGCUAAACCAUGCACCGAAGCUGCGGCAGCGACGCUUAUGCGUUGUUGGGUAGGGGAGCGUUCUGUAAGCCUGUGAAGGUGUACUGUGAGGUACGCUGGAGGUAUCAGAAGUGCGAAUGCUGACAUAAGUAACGAUAAAGCGGGUGAAAAGCCCGCUCGCCGGAAGACCAAGGGUUCCUGUCCAACGUUAAUCGGGGCAGGGUGAGUCGACCCCUAAGGCGAGGCCGAAAGGCGUAGUCGAUGGGAAACAGGUUAAUAUUCCUGUACUUGGUGUUACUGCGAAGGGGGGACGGAGAAGGCUAUGUUGGCCGGGCGACGGUUGUCCCGGUUUAAGCGUGUAGGCUGGUUUUCCAGGCAAAUCCGGAAAAUCAAGGCUGAGGCGUGAUGACGAGGCACUACGGUGCUGAAGCAACAAAUGCCCUGCUUCCAGGAAAAGCCUCUAAGCAUCAGGUAACAUCAAAUCGUACCCCAAACCGACACAGGUGGUCAGGUAGAGAAUACCAAGGCGCUUGAGAGAACUCGGGUGAAGGAACUAGGCAAAAUGGUGCCGUAACUUCGGGAGAAGGCACGCUGAUAUGUAGGUGAAGUCCCUCGCGGAUGGAGCUGAAAUCAGUCGAAGAUACCAGCUGGCUGCAACUGUUUAUUAAAAACACAGCACUGUGCAAACACGAAAGUGGACGUAUACGGUGUGACGCCUGCCCGGUGCCGGAAGGUUAAUUGAUGGGGUUAGCGCAAGCGAAGCUCUUGAUCGAAGCCCCGGUAAACGGCGGCCGUAACUAUAACGGUCCUAAGGUAGCGAAAUUCCUUGUCGGGUAAGUUCCGACCUGCACGAAUGGCGUAAUGAUGGCCAGGCUGUCUCCACCCGAGACUCAGUGAAAUUGAACUCGCUGUGAAGAUGCAGUGUACCCGCGGCAAGACGGAAAGACCCCGUGAACCUUUACUAUAGCUUGACACUGAACAUUGAGCCUUGAUGUGUAGGAUAGGUGGGAGGCUUUGAAGUGUGGACGCCAGUCUGCAUGGAGCCGACCUUGAAAUACCACCCUUUAAUGUUUGAUGUUCUAACGUUGACCCGUAAUCCGGGUUGCGGACAGUGUCUGGUGGGUAGUUUGACUGGGGCGGUCUCCUCCUAAAGAGUAACGGAGGAGCACGAAGGUUGGCUAAUCCUGGUCGGACAUCAGGAGGUUAGUGCAAUGGCAUAAGCCAGCUUGACUGCGAGCGUGACGGCGCGAGCAGGUGCGAAAGCAGGUCAUAGUGAUCCGGUGGUUCUGAAUGGAAGGGCCAUCGCUCAACGGAUAAAAGGUACUCCGGGGAUAACAGGCUGAUACCGCCCAAGAGUUCAUAUCGACGGCGGUGUUUGGCACCUCGAUGUCGGCUCAUCACAUCCUGGGGCUGAAGUAGGUCCCAAGGGUAUGGCUGUUCGCCAUUUAAAGUGGUACGCGAGCUGGGUUUAGAACGUCGUGAGACAGUUCGGUCCCUAUCUGCCGUGGGCGCUGGAGAACUGAGGGGGGCUGCUCCUAGUACGAGAGGACCGGAGUGGACGCAUCACUGGUGUUCGGGUUGUCAUGCCAAUGGCACUGCCCGGUAGCUAAAUGCGGAAGAGAUAAGUGCUGAAAGCAUCUAAGCACGAAACUUGCCCCGAGAUGAGUUCUCCCUGACUCCUUGAGAGUCCUGAAGGAACGUUGAAGACGACGACGUUGAUAGGCCGGGUGUGUAAGCGCAGCGAUGCGUUGAGCUAACCGGUACUAAUGAACCGUGAGGCUUAACCUUACAACGCCGAAG